GAAGGUGGCCUGUGAGGGUUGCUGGAGGUAUCAGAAGUGCGAAUGCUGACAUAAGUAACGAUAAAGCGGGUGAAAAGCCCGCUCGCCGGAAGACCAAGGGUUCCUGUCCAACGUUAAUCGGGGCAGGGUGAGUCGACCCCUAAGGCGAGGCCGAAAGGCGUAGUCGAUGGGAAACGGGUUAAUAUUCCCGUACUUGGUGUUACUGCGAAGGGGGGACGGAGAAGGCUAUGUUGGCCGGGCGACGGUUGUCCCGGUUUAAGCGUGUAGGUGUGUGUUCCAGGUAAAUCCGGUUCACUUUAACACUGAGGCGUGACGACGAGGCACUACGGUGCUGAAGCAACAAAUGCCCUGCUUCCAGGAAAAGCCUCUAAGCAUCAGGUAACAUCAAAUCGUACCCCAAACCGACACAGGUGGUCAGGUAGAGAAUACCAAGGCGCUUGAGAGAACUCGGGUGAAGGAACUAGGCAAAAUGGUGCCGUAACUUCGGGAGAAGGCACGCUGACAUGUAGGUGAAGUGAUUUACUCAUGGAGCUGAAGUCAGUCGAAGAUACCAGCUGGCUGCAACUGUUUAUUAAAAACACAGCACUGUGCAAACACGAAAGUGGACGUAUACGGUGUGACGCCUGCCCGGUGCCGGAAGGUUAAUUGAUGGGGUCAGCGCAAGCGAAGCUCCUGAUCGAAGCCCCGGUAAACGGCGGCCGUAACUAUAACGGUCCUAAGGUAGCGAAAUUCCUUGUCGGGUAAGUUCCGACCUGCACGAAUGGCGUAAUGAUGGCCAGGCUGUCUCCACCCGAGACUCAGUGAAAUUGAACUCGCUGUGAAGAUGCAGUGUACCCGCGGCAAGACGGAAAGACCCCGUGAACCUUUACUAUAGCUUGACACUGAACAUUGAGCCUUGAUGUGUAGGAUAGGUGGGAGGCUUUGAAGUGUGGACGCCAGUCUGCAUGGAGCCGACCUUGAAAUACCACCCUUUAAUGUUUGAUGUUCUAACGUGGACCCGUAAUCCGGGUUGCGGACAGUGUCUGGUGGGUAGUUUGACUGGGGCGGUCUCCUCCUAAAGAGUAACGGAGGAGCACGAAGGUUGGCUAAUCCUGGUCGGACAUCAGGAGGUUAGUGCAAUGGCAUAAGCCAGCUUGACUGCGAGCGUGACGGCGCGAGCAGGUGCGAAAGCAGGUCAUAGUGAUCCGGUGGUUCUGAAUGGAAGGGCCAUCGCUCAACGGAUAAAAGGUACUCCGGGGAUAACAGGCUGAUACCGCCCAAGAGUUCAUAUCGACGGCGGUGUUUGGCACCUCGAUGUCGGCUCAUCACAUCCUGGGGCUGAAGUAGGUCCCAAGGGUAUGGCUGUUCGCCAUUUAAAGUGGUACGCGAGCUGGGUUUAGAACGUCGUGAGACAGUUCGGUCCCUAUCUGCCGUGGGCGCUGGAGAACUGAGGGGGGCUGCUCCUAGUACGAGAGGACCGGAGUGGACGCAUCACUGGUGUUCGGGUUGUCAUGCCAAUGGCACUGCCCGGUAGCUAAAUGCGGAAGAGAUAAGUGCUGAAAGCAUCUAAGCACGAAACUUGCCCCGAGAUGAGUUCUCCCUGAGACUU
rnacentral:rRNA from 1 species